rnacentral:rRNA from 2 species
AAAACUUUCAACAACGGAUCUCUUGGUUCUGGCAUCGAUGAAGAACGCAGCGAAAUGCGAUAAGUAAUGUGAAUUGCAGAAUUCAGUGAAUCAUCGAAUAUUUGAACGCACAUUGCGCCCUCUGGUAUUCCGGGGGGCAUGCCUGUUCGAGCGUC